rnacentral:rRNA from 1 species
UAAGGAAUCUUCCACAAUGGACGAAAGUCUGAUGGAGCAACACCGCGUGCAGGAUGAAGGCUUUCGGGUCGUAAACUGCUUUUAUAGAGGAAGAUUAUGACGGUACUCUAUGAAUAAGGACCGGCUAACUACGUGCCAGCAGCCGCGGUAAUACGUAGGGUCCAAGCGUUAUCCGGAAUCACUGGGCGUAAAGCGUGCGUAGGUGGUCUGUUAAGUGAGAUAUUAAAGCGUGUGGCUCAACCAUAUCGUUGUGUCUCAUACUGGCAGACUAGAGGACGGCAGAGGCAAGUGGAAUUACUAGUGUAGCAGUGAAAUGCGUAGAUAUUAGUAGGAACACCAAUGGCGAAGGCAGCUUGCUGGGCCGCCCCUGACACUGAGGUACGAAAGCGUGGGGAGCGAACAGG